rnacentral:rRNA from 1 species
AAUAUUGGACAAUGGUGGCAACCCUGAUCCAGCCAUGCCGCGUGUGUUAAUAAGGUCUUCGGUUUGUAAAGCACGUUAAGGUGGGAGGAAGGGCUUUAGGUUAAUACCCUGAAGUUUUGACGUUACCAACAGAAUAAGCAUCGGAUAACUCUGUGCCAGCAGCCGCGGUAAUACAGAGGGUGCUAGCGUUAAUCGUAAUUCCUGGAGAUAAAGCGCGCGUAGGUGGUUCAGUAAGAUGGAUGUGAAAUCCCCGGGCUUAACCUGGGAACUGCUUUCAUAACUGCUGAGCUAGAGUACGGUAGAGGGUAGUGGAAUUUCCUGUGUAGCGGUGAAAUGCGUAGAUAUAGGAAGGAACACCAGUGGCGAAGGCGACUACCUGGACUGAUACUGACACUGAGGUGCGAAAGCGUGGGGAGCAAAC